GGUGGAAUGGCUGGGCUAUUUGGUAACUUUAUGUUUAACAUUUUGAGGAACUCUCAGAGUCCUUUCCAAAGUAGCACCAUUCUAUAACUCCACUAGCAAU
rnacentral:pre_miRNA from 1 species